rnacentral:lncRNA from 1 species
CGCACUACUGAUUUGUAAUUCAAAUUACUUGGACCACAUUAAGGAAGGAAGUCAAUAGCGAACAGAUCUAACCGAACAAAACAGACAUGCCACUUACUGUAAUUUUCGACCAAGAACACUUGGUUUAAAACACACACAAUAUAAGAGAAAUAUACCACACAUAGUCAGGCUAAGAAUAAACCACAUUAAUAGUCAGGCUAAGAAUAAACCACAUCAACUCAUUUAUUCAGUCCAAUUUAAGAACUCACAAGCACACAAGGUCACCAAAAUAGGAGAGUAGGAAGUCAAAAAUAGACUGAGAUGUGCCUUUUUUAAACGAAUAAGGUCAGUAAAUACAAAGAUUUUCCCUGCCAGACUGUGUGCGUGACUCGGCGAUGAAAUUUGAUCGGAAAAUCAGCUACAAAAUCAUAGACAAUUACUGCGAGCUCCGACCUCGACUGACAGCCUUACUCAAACAUCAACUCCAACAUAUUGGAAAUCGGAACCAACAGAAUAGACCGUUAAUGUGUAAAGCAAUAUGUUUUUCUGAAAUUGCUUCCAGAUUAAUAGAACUUUAUCGACCAUAACAAGCCGAAAAUAGAAGUUUCGUUGAUGAAAUUUCCAGUGUAUACACGGACAAAAAUGGAGAAAACGCUACAACCAAAACUCAAAACAAAAAUCAAACUCAAAUGGGAUUACGAACACCACUGCAGACGACACCUCGAACAGUCACCGAAGCAAUGAAACUCAAACAAACUCCAUUCCCAGAAUUGAAUCAAUUUCCAUUGAAAUCAGAAGAAGCAAAACUUUUAAACUUAAAGGAACUCAUCAACAACACUGAAAAUCCAAACCAUCACCACGAAAUUGAAGCAAUUGUGUAUCCCUGUGUGCUUUCAUGUGUGUGUGUGUGUGUUUCUGAUGAUGGAUGUUGAAAGGUCGCUGGAUAAUGUUCUAAAGUUUCAGAUCUGUUCCACGGUUGAAGGGUCAAGGUAAUGAAUAAAUAUGGGGCUGCUUUGUGUUAGAUAGUAAGAUGGGGGUGCUCCUGGGUGUCAGCGGCAGGUCCUCUGCUUUUUAUUUUGUGUAGAAGAAGAACCAACAGGAGAGUUUCCUAUUGCAGCACAACUUUUUCCCUUUUCUGUGC